AGACGGGGGGUGCUAGCGUUGUUCGGAAUUACUGGGCGUAAAGGGCGCGUAGGCGGCUCUGCGAGUCGGGCGUGAAAUCCCGGGGCUCAACCCCGGAACGGCGCUCGAUACUGCGGGGCUGGAGACCGGAAGAGGAGGGUGGAAUUCCCAGUGUAGAGGUGAAGUUCGUAGAUAUUGGGAGGAACACCGGUGGCGAAAGCGGCUCUCUGGUCCGGUUCUGACGCUGAGGCGCGAAAGCGUGGGGAGCAAACAGGAUUAGAAACCCUAGUAGUCC
rnacentral:rRNA from 1 species